UUACGGCCACAUCGCGUUGAAACAUCGGUUCCCGUUCGAUCCUCGAACCUAAGCAAUGUCGAAACGGAUCAGUACCUAGAUGGGUGAGGGCUUGGGAAUAUCGGGCGCUGUAAG